rnacentral:misc_RNA from 1 species
UCUCCGUUGGUGAACCAGCGGAGGGAUCAUUGCUGGAAGCGCCGCAAGGUGCACCCAGAAACCCUUUGUGAACUUAUACCUACAUCGUUGCCUCGGCGCUGGCUGCCUCUCCCUUGUGGAGGGGGCCCUAAACCUCUGCCCCUCGGGGCUCUGGCGCAGGACAGCAGGCCCGCCGGUGGCCUACUUAACUCUUGUUUUUACUGAGUAACUUCUGAGUAAAGCUUCUAAAUAAAUUAAAACUUUUAACAACGGAUCUCUUGGUUCUGGCAUCGAUGAAGAACGCAGC